UGCAAGUGCUCUUAAAGAAGGAUAAUCCCA
rnacentral:piRNA from 1 species